CCAUCGGUGGUUCAGUGGUAGAGUGCUCGCCUGCCACGCGGGAGGCCCGGGUUCGAUUCCCGGCCGAUGCU
rnacentral:tRNA from 1 species